GGCCCUAAUUGCAGUUCGAAACGCGUAAAGAUCCCGUCAAGGGGCAAGCUAGAGUGGCAAACGGGCNCCUUUUAUANGCUGGNCUGACCAUGCCUUCGAGCGGGGGAUAACGNUCCCGAAAGGGACGCAUAAUACCGCAUGACAUCCUGCCUUUGAAGAGGCGGANAUCAAAGCCNGGGAUCGCAAGACCUGGCACUCGAUGAGGGGCCCGCGCCUGAUUAUCUAGUUGGUGAGGUAACGGCUCACCAAGGCAACGAUCAGUAUCCGGCCUGAGAGGGCGGACGGACACACUGGGACUGAGACACGGCCCANACUCCUACGGGAGGCAGCAGUGGGGAAUUGUUCGCAAUGGGCGCAAGCCUGACGACGCAACNCCGCGUGGAGGAUGAAGACCUUCGGGUCGUAAACUCCUUUCGAUCGAGACGAAUGGCCCUUGGGCUAAUCACCAAGGGAGUGACGGUACCGAGAGAAGANGCCCCGGCUAACUCCGUGCCAGCAGCCGCGGCAAUACGGGGGGGGCAAGCGUUGUUCGGAAUUACUGGGCGUAAAGGGCUCGUAGGUGGCCNACUAAGUCAGACGUGAAAUCCCCUCGGCUUAACCNGGGAACUGCGUCUGAUACUGGAUGNCUUGAGUUUGGGAGAGGGAUG
rnacentral:rRNA from 1 species